rnacentral:rRNA from 1 species
UACCUGAAAUCAACUGAAUUCAAGAGUA